rnacentral:tRNA from 1 species
AGGGGUACAGCUCAAUUGGUAGAGUGCUUGCCUCACAUGCAUAAGGCCCUGGGUUCAAUCCCCAGCACCACAC